UCUCUUUCAUGGUGACUCCAGCAAAGGGA
rnacentral:piRNA from 1 species